UGAGUCAGCCAGGCGGCCGCGUCGGUCCGACCCUCGGGUCGGUCCGCCGAGGAACGUCCGGGCUCCGUAGGGCAGGGUGGUGGGUAACACCCACCCGGGGUGACCCGCGGGACAGUGCCACAGAGAACAGACCGCCUCCCCGGACCGGUUCGCCGGACCGGGGCGGUAAGGGUGAAACGGUGGUGCAAGAGACCACCAGCGCACCGGGUGACCGGUGCGGCUCGGUAAACCCCACCCGGAGCAAGGUCAGACAGGGAGUGCUCGAGGGCUGCCCGCCCGAGCUCCCGGGUAGACCGCUGGAGGCGUGCGGCAACGUACGUCGUAGAUGGAUGGCCGUCACCUGUGCGCGGGCAACUGCGCACGGGGACAGAACCCGGCGUAUCGGCUGACUCAUCCG
rnacentral:RNase_P_RNA from 2 species